rnacentral:rRNA from 1 species
CAAUAGCGUAUAUUAAAAUUGUUGCGGUUAAAAAGCUCGUAGUUGGAUUUCUGCUGAGGACGACCGGUCCGCCCUUCGGGUGAGUAUCUGGUUUGGCCUUGGCAUUUUCUUGGUGGACGUAUCUGCACUUGAAUGUGUGGUGCGGUACCCGGGACUUUGACUUUGAGGAAAUUAGAGUGUUUCAAGCAGGCAUACGCCUUGAAUACGUUAGCAUUGAAUAAUAAGAUAGGACCUCGGUUCUAUUUUGUCUGGUUUCUAGAGCUGAGGUAAUGAUUAAUGAGGAUCAGUGGGGGCGAUUUGUAUUUAACUGUCAGGGGUGAAAUUCUUGGAUUUGUUAAAGACGGACUACUGCGAAAGCAUUUGCCAAGGAUGUUGUCAUUGAUCAAGAACGAAAGUUAGGGGAUCGAAGAUGAUUAGAUACCAU